UACGAAGGGGGCUAGGCGUUGCUCGGAAUCACUGGGCUUAAAGGGCGCGAUAGGCGGGCCGCAAAGUCAGGGGUGAAAUCCUCCAGCUCAACUGGAGAACUGCUUUUGAUACUGGCGGUCUUGAGUGGGGUAGGGGCAUGCGGAACAAUGGGUGGAGCGGUGAAAUGCGUUGAUAUCCAUUGGAACUCCGGUGGCGAAAGCGGCGUGCUGGACCUCUACUGACGCUGAGACGCGAAAGCGUGGGGAGCGAACAGG
rnacentral:rRNA from 1 species